AUGGCCGACGUGGGUCAAAGUGUAGUAUUUGUCGUUAUCAGAUUAAUAUCUGAUACGGGUAGUAUUGGGACGAAAUAUAUUAAAAUUAUUUUUGCAAGUUGGCAGGGUACUUGAAGCGUGCUUCACCUCCAACGCGAGUCGGCCCGGUAUUGCAUAUCUUCGAGAUUUUUGGUCUACGAACA